UACGUAGGGGGCAAGCGUUGUCCGGAUUUACUGGGCGUAAAGAGCGUGUAUGCGGCCAAACAGGUCCGUUGUGAAAACUGGAGGCUCAACCUCCAGACGUCGACGGAAACCGUAUGGCUAGAGUCCGGAAGAGGAGAGUGGAAUUCCUGGUGUAGCGGUGAAAUGCGCAGAUAUCAGGAAGAACACCUAUGGCGAAGGCAGCUCUCUGGGACGGUACUGACGCUGAGACGCGAAAGCGUGGGGAGCGAACAGG
rnacentral:rRNA from 1 species